AUGGAAAGAAAGUCUCUUCUUUCCACAACUCCUAAAUUUCCCAUCAGCCUAUCCAAUCUAAUUCCAGACAGAGGGCAUUUCAACGAGCAAACUAAUCCAAUCCCACAAAGGAUUGUUCAUGGAAAUACUAUCGAAAUUAUUCGGACCAUAUUUCCAAGUGUCAUUCUUUUGUUCAUUGCUAUACCAUCGUUUGCUCUGUUAUACUCAAUGGACAGGGUAUUAGUAGAUCCAGCCAUUACUAUCAAAGCUAUUGGACAUCAAUGGUAUCGGAGUGCGCCUCUUAACGAGGGUGAUAAGGAGUAG
rnacentral:rRNA from 1 species